CCCUGUCUGGUUCCUGGCCCUCGCCACUUCGGCUGUUAACUGCACCAGGGGGAGAGACGGGGUCCAGGUGGGAGCAGAUGGGCGGCCACAUCCUUCCUGGUCCCCGCUUGUCCCUUUCCCACAUCUCCAUGUUCAGAGACAGAUUUGGGGGGGGGGGCGUUCUGCCCCGCCAACCCCAGCUGCUGGGCUCCUGUGACGCUGACCCAUGACCUAGCACCUGCCCACCAGAGCUCCCUUCUUGCCGGACAGACCUAGGUCCGUGGAGGCAGGCGUGAACAGCAGAUGGCAGAGAUAAUUUAAAAAAUAGUCUGAAAACGUGUAUGUGAGCCACAGACACUUCUCUGCGGAAAGACUCAUGGCUUCCUCACGGGUAGACAAGCCUGACGUGGAACACCGUCAUGUGCAGGGAAAGGCGGCCCUGUACCACACGGGCAGCAGUGAACCGUACCCCGCCUUGGCCGUGGGAGCCCCGGCGAGUCCCCAGGGCAGCCGCCAAACGCGGUCGGGGGCACACGCACAACACGGACACGAUCCGCCGAGGCCUGGUGCCCGGGCCAGAUGCCCAGGGUUCCCCAAGCUCCACUUCCUGUCCCAUGCUCUAGUCUACCCCCUCCGCCCCCCCGCCCCCCUUCCCCAGGCCCCGGGUCUCCUCUCCGAUGCCAGCCCUCCUGUCUUCCCGACACUGGGGGAUGAAGCCCGUCCUGCUCUGCCACGGCCCCAGACACGCUGCCUCUCGCCUCCACUCCUCGGGAUCCCUUUGCCCAGGACACCCUCUCCUUGGGGUCCCCCCGGCCCCGCUCACCCCCACCUUUCCCCUGCACUUGUCCCAUCUGGGCUCCCCCCACGGCAGCCCUGAGCCUGUCACGCCAGUGGUCUCCCCUAGGUUGUUCACGGGAGAUGUCCGUCCUUGGUCACCGUGCCCCCCGUGCCCCGGACGCUCAGUAAAGGCUUGCUGGACAAAUAAAAAUGCUGCUUUGCUG